UAUGAUGUUAUCGUUACAGAGAAAGUUCAACUUUAACAUCCGAGAGAACAAAAUCACACUGCGGUGACUUUGCUGCAUCUCUGCCUCAGUCUCUUCGUGCUCAUUCUGAUGGCGGCCAUCAUUGUCGAACAUUUUGCAAGCGGCUCACCACUAGCAGGAGCGAAAAAGGAUCUGAGAAAACGCACUGUUCGUCUCUUCACAACAGGAGUAUGAUGUUUGAAGUGUGAAUCGAUUCACUUGCUGUUUCCAAUGUGUUUUCAGAAGAUGGGUUACAUUUCUAUGCUUUCUGUCACUCCCUGCCAAUUGGUCCAUACUCGUGUCUUCUGCAAUGCUGCUCUCUCUCUUCCACACACGUUCAGGAGACUGCGAAGCUUCACAUCCAAUCAUAAAGUGUAUAACAGGCCCUUUAGUCCGUUGAAACUGUACUGCCAAAAACUGUUAUAAAUCUACAGUAAUCCCACUUCCAGCCCAUUGCCUGAGUUUAGUAAUGUCCUUUUAGUUGAAGGACUUUAUCUGGUCAAACCUAGGUGUGACUCCAAACCCGUAGCAAUGUGCUUUUGUCUUCAUUGCUCCUCUGGGCAAUUAGGGGUGGACAACAAUUGCUGGCCCAGCCAAUGUUGCCCACAUCCCAUGACCCCAUUAAAAAUAAGACCAUGUGUGAUAUCAGGUUCCAUUGCCAUAUGAUACAUCCACGUAUGGAACUGGGUAUACAGCAGAUGUCCCACCCACCUCCAGCUUUUCAAAACCCAUCUUCAAUGCUGAUUCUCAACUUUGAAGAGCACAGCAUAGUCUGUCUCACCAAGGAACUUGCCCAGGAAUUUGUCAGCAACAGUGACUGGUCCAGAAUGUAUCGAUGUCAAAGUUUGAUGUUUGUACAUUGCUCUCACUGUCUGUCAUUGUCACAUCCCACUGCUCACUCACAGAUAAAUCCUGCCUCUUGGUUACAUUGCAUAUGUCAGUCUGUGCAAUGAAAAGGGAGCUUAAGUAAAGGGCAAUCUUCUAUUGCAAGCAUCAACGAGUGAUGGUUUGUGGUGCAGUGUUUGAAACCCUAACCUUAGAGCUCAGAGACCUGGGUUCAAUGUUCACAUUUGCUUCAAAGUAGAAAUGUACAGAACAGAAGUGGCCCUUCAACCCAUUGAGUCUGUGUCAACUGAACAACUUGUGAAUCUGCACUUGGCCCAUUUCUUUGAAUUUAUAACAUUUCAAGUUCUCAUCCAAGUAGCUUUAUAGAGCUGGGAGGUUUUCCACCUCAACUGCCUUCCCAGGCAGCACAUUCCAGACCUCCAACAGCAUCUGGGUGAUUUAUUUUCCCUCAAAAUCCUAACUAAAGUUCAUGCCCCUCACCUUGUUGUUGACGCUCGCACUAAGAGGAAUAGCUGCUUCAUAACCCCCCCCAGUCCAUGCCCCUCAUAAUCGUACAAACUUCUAUCGGGUCCCUCUUCAACUGCUC